AUCUUGGUAGCUCAGAUGGCAGAGUACUGGGCUAGUAAUCCAGUGGUAGUGGGUUCAAGUCCCACCCAAGACA